AUUCCGGCUCCAAUAGCGUAUAUUAAAGUUGUUGCAGUUAAAAAGCUCGUAGUUGGAUUUUGGGAUAAGCUAGUUGGUCCGCCGCAAGGUGAGAACUGAUGGGCAUAUCCUUCCUCUCGAAAACGCUGCGUAUAGUUUACUCUGUGUGUAGUGGGUUCGGGACUUUUACUGUGAAAAAAUUAGAGUGUUCAAAGCAGGCUAUCGCUUGAAUAUUUCAGCAUGGAAUAAUGGAAUAGGACAUUGGUUCUAUUUUGUUGGUUUCUAGGACCGAAGUAAUGAUUAAUAGGGAUAGUUGGGGGCAUUAGUAUUUAAUUGUCAGAGGUGAAAUUCUUGGAUUUAUGAAAGACUAACUUCUGCGAAAGCAUUUGCCAAGGAUGUUUUCAUCG
rnacentral:rRNA from 1 species